rnacentral:rRNA from 1 species
GUCGAACGGAUCCUUCGGGAUUAGUGGCGGACGGGUGAGUAACACGUGGGAACGUGCCCUUUGGUUCGGAACAACUCAGGGAAACUUGAGCUAAUACCGGAUGUGCCCUUCGGGGGAAAGAUUUAUCGCCAUUGGAGCGGCCCGCGUCUGAUUAGCUAGUUGGUGGGGUAAAGGCCCACCAAGGCGACGAUCAGUAGCUGGUCUGAGAGGAUGAUCAGCCACAUUGGGACUGAGACACGGCCCACACUCCUACGGGAGGCAGCAGUGGGGAAUCUUGCGCAAUGGGCGAAAGCCUGACGCAGCCAUGCCGCGUGAAUGAUGAAGGUCUUAGGAUUGUAAAAUUCUUUCACCGGGGACGAUAAUGACGGUACCCGGAGAAGAAGCCCCGGCUAACUUCGUGCCAGCAGCCGCGGUAAUACGAAGGGGGCUAGCGUUGCUCGGAAUUACUGGGCGUAAAGGGAGCGUAGGCGGACUGUUAAGUUAGAGGUGAAAGCCCAGGGCUCAACCUUGGAAUUGCCUUUGAUACUGGCAGUCUUGAGUACGGAAGAGGUAUGUGGAACUCCGAGUGUAGAGGUGAAAUUCGUAGAUAUUCGGAAGAACACCAGUGGCGAAGGCGACAUACUGGUCCGUUACUGACGCUGAGGCUCGAA